rnacentral:rRNA from 1 species
AUUGAACGCUGGCGGCAGGCCUAACACAUGCAAGUCGAACGGUAACAGGAAACAGCUUGCUGUUUCGCUGACGAGUGGCGGACGGGUGAGUAAUGUCUGGGAAACUGCCUGAUGGAGGGGGAUAACUACUGGAAACGGUAGCUAAUACCGCAUAACGUCGCAAGACCAAAGAGGGGGACCUUCGGGCCUCUUGCCAUCGGCUGUGCCCAGAUGGGAUUAGCUAGUAGGUGGGGUAACGGCUCACCUAGGCGACGAUCCCUAGCUGGUCUGAGAGGAUGACCAGCCACACUGGAACUGAGACACGGUCCAGACUCCUACGGGAGGCGGCAGUGGGGAAUAUUGCACAAUGGGCGCAAGCCUGAUGCAGCCAUGCCGCGUGUAUGAAGAAGGCCUUCGGGUUGUAAAGUACUUUCAGCGGGGAUGAAGGGAGUAAAGUUAAUACCUUUGCUCAUUGACGUUACCCGCAGAAGAAGCACCGGCUAACUCCGUG